GCGGUAGCACAAGAGAGCUUGCUCUCUGGGUGACGAGCGGCGGACGGGUGAGUAAUGUCUGGGAAACUGCCUGAUGGAGGGGGAUAACUACUGGAAACGGUAGCUAAUACCGCAUAACGUCUUCGGACCAAAGUGGGGGACCUUCGGGCCUCACGCCAUCAGAUGUGCCCAGAUGGGAUUAGCUAGUAGGUGGGGUAAUGGCUCACCUAGGCGACGAUCCCUAGCUGGUCUGAGAGGAUGACCAGCCACACUGGAACUGAGACACGGUCCAGACUCCUACGGGAGGCAGCAGUGGGGAAUAUUGCACAAUGGGCGCAAGCCUGAUGCAGCCAUGCCGCGUGUGUGAAGAAGGCCUUCGGGUUGUAAAGCACUUUCAGCGAGGAGGAAGGGUGGUGUGUUAAUAGCGCAUCACAUUGACGUUACUCGCAGAAGAAGCACCGGCUAACUCCGUGCCAGCAGCCGCGGUAAUACGGAGGGUGCAAGCGUUAAUCGGAAUUACUGGGCGUAAAGCGCACGCAGGCGGUUUGUUAAGUCAGAUGUGAAAUCCCCGCGCUUAACGUGGGAACUGCAUUUGAAACUGGCAAGCUAGAGUCUUGUAGAGGGGGGUAGAAUUCCAGGUGUAGCGGUGAAAUGCGUAGAGAUCUGGAGGAAUACCGGUGGCGA
rnacentral:rRNA from 1 species